GUUGCGAAUUAAAUUCAGGGCUAGCGUUAUCUAGCAUUAGCCUAGCAUUAGCCUAUGCUAGUAGCUACAUAGCUAACUAGUUGGGGUAAAUUUUACUCGUCAGUCGGGUUCAGCUCACUGUUCUGUAUUGUAAGUGUAUGGUCUUAGCUAUUUGUCUUCGUGAACAUCUGUGUUUUUGCCAGAAAGUCGACUAUAAUUCGACAGUGGCUGCAGCUGCGCAGAGCCUCAUAAAUGUGCUCACGCAGAACCUCUCUCAUGGACAGCAAGAGCAAGGAAGAAGGCAGGAACAGAGCCAGUCUACUGUAGAGCAAGAUAUGGCCAGGAACAACUGAAAAGGGAUUUUCUUCAGAGACUACUGACUAAAGUUUCUCAGGCCACACAAAGACUGCCCCUAGAUGUUGACUAUUUGCAGUUUGUAGUGAAGCAGGAGAUGAUCAUUUUUAGAUCAUUGUCGAGCCAGAUGGAGAUGCCACAGGAUGUUAUCAGUGCUUUGACUGAGCUGUCGGCACUUGUUAACGAAGAGGAAAGGGAUUAUCCAACACCCAGUCACGUAUCAGUGUUUCAAGGGGAGAUGGGCCGUCCUAAAUAUCUUGUAUCUGCUGAACAACUAAAAGGCCUCUUAGAACUACAGCUACCAGUGUCAUGCAUUGCAAAACAUCUGGGUGUAUCUGAGAUGACCGUGAAAAGACGCAUGCGUGAGCAGGACCUUUCUAUAAAGCAGCGGUAUAGUAACCUAACUGAUGAACAGCUGGACAGUUUGGUGAGGUCGGUGAAGGCCAGGACACCACAUGUAGGAUACCGAAUGAUGAAGGGAAUUCUGCAGGCCAUGGGCCACCGUGUACAGUGUCUUCCUCUAUGCAUCGUGUGGACUCUGUUGGUGUACUCUCAAGAAUGACUAGGAUGGGAUGUGUUUCAAGAAGAACAUAUUCUGUUCAGGGUCCUCUGCACUUGGUACAUAUCGACACAAAUCAUAAGCUUAUCAGGUAUGCAAUAAUUUUUUUACAUGUUAUGUCGCUCUACCUUUGGGUAAAUGUAGGAAAUGCACUAAAACAAUGUUUACAAAUUAUCUGUCCAACUCUUCUUGUGCAUCAACAAGUGAAUGCAAAGAAAUGUAGCCAGAUACUAAUUUAAACUGAUGGUAUUUUUUUCCUGAACAGAUA